rnacentral:rRNA from 1 species
GACAGAGGGUGCAAACGUUGUUCGGAAUUACUGGGCGUAAAGCGCGUGUAGGCGUGGCUGAAGUCGGGUGUGAAAGCCCUGGGCUCAACCCAGGAAGUGCACUCGAAACUCCCGAGCUGGAGUCCCGGAGAGGAAGGCGGAAUUCUCGGUGUAGAGGUGAAAUUCGUAGAUAUCGAGAGGAACAUCUGUGGCGAAGGCGGCCUUCGUGGACGGUGACUGACGCUGAGACGCGAAAGCGUGGGGAGCAAACAGG